CCAAUAGCAGUUGCCACUCUACUCUACUCUCUUCACACGAAAGCUUCUUCUCUCUCUCUGUCCUGUUUAGCGACUCCACUCUUCAUGACUCCACUCCUCUCUCUACUCUACUCUCUUCUCGGCUCUGCACUUCCGCUCCUCUCUCUACACUCUUCAUUCUUUGUGCCUCUGAUCCGUGUUUAGGAUCCAGGGAGCUCGCCGACCCCUUCGCUCCCAUUGCUGCGUAGUGUCUUUUUCUUCACUCCCGACCACGCAGCCUCCGCCAUCGCCUCCCAGAGCCCCAUUGGAGACUUAGAUUUGUUGUCUACGCACGAUGAGCUCAGGGUCAUCAAAUUCUUUUUAGCAACCUGGGAUGAAUGAGUUGAGCGAUUCGAUAGGCAGAGACAAUGUAUGGUUGUAGCAUAAAUAGUCGGGAGGAACCCUCAUAAUUCUUGGAUGAGAGGAAUCCUCAUCAUUUUGAGUCAAUCCUGAUGGUGAAUCUGAUUGGUUUUUGGAUGAGCACACGGAAUAUAUGGUGCUUUCGUUAGAUUUCACCUCCGAUUUCUAUUUGAAGGCUUGAAUGGGUCAUAUUUGCCAAUUGUCUCUUCCUUCCCUAAAAUAGGAGACUGAUUUCCCCCCCUUACAAAUAGUGUACUUGUAGGGAGAUGAUCAUUUUACAUUUUAUUGACUGGAUUGUUUGUAAGGUUGUUGCUAGUGAUGAAGUAGUUAAAUCUUAUUGCGUCACCUUGACAAUGAAAAAAGAGCAGAUUUCACUUUAAAAGUGCUAGUGUAAGCUAUUAAAAAGCCAAAGUUUCAUUCGACGAGCUAUUUUAGAAUGGCUGAUUGGUUAUUCAUGCUUCUCAUUAUUCUAUUUUGGUUCUC